CCUUUUUCACAAUGCGGAAAGUCGGGAUUUUACAAUCCGGCAACGCCGCAAUCGGCCAUCUUUGUUCUAAUUAAUUUUUCCCCGUGUAAAUUCCCAUAAGGAAUCGGGGUCCCUUUAGUUUAAAUUCAUUUUUAAUUUAUUGGUGCCUUAAAUAAAAUUUAUUUCUCAUUGAUCGUGUUCCCAGAUGAAUUAGUAACAUUUUCAUGUAUGAUUUGUUGUGUGUUUGCCGUUUGGCUGCGGUAACAGAUACAAUGUUUAUGAAUCUGUUAUGUAAGUUUUGCAUCCCAAAAGUGAAUGUUAUUGGACAUCCAAAAUAUGUGGUAAAAAUUCCCUCAAAAGUAUUUGGGGUUAACUAGUUUAAAAUUUACUUAUUCAACUGCUUUAACAUUUAGUUCCCUAAUCUGACGAAGCGUUCACUAUGAUUAGGCUAUCUGAUUCAUUAUCGUUAUUUAUUUAUCACUUUAAGAAUACACACGAUUCUUUUUUCUAGAGAAACAUUUGUAUUAAACGAGGUGAAAAGAAGUUUUUAAUACAGAUACUGAACAUGUGACACUGUUUCAACUAGUAAUUGUCUUUUCAUUUUUCAAUACUUUUAUUCGAGGAACCAAUGCCUAGUUUUCUAAUGCAAGAGCUGUGUUGCAGGUAGAUGGAUGCUGCUCGUUUGUUGAUUCACCAAUUUGUUGAUGUGUCUAUCAAAGGUGUUCUGCAUUGGGUAUAUCCAGCGGUAUCUUUCAUGAAAUCAGUUACUGCAUCUUUUGGAACUGUCUAUGGGAAAAAAUGAUGAAAUAUGUUAAGCAAUGUUUUAUAAAUGACAUAAUCAAUAUAAAUAAUAUACCAUCCUCUUA